CUGCUGUGAUGAGAUUCAUUGAUACAUUAAUGAAAGCAGCUAAUGCUUGAUGUUCGAUUGACAAUGAUGUCAAUCCUGAGCGGUUAACUGAGCAG